UAUUGAAAUAAACCUGAUGGGUUGUUGCUGGUUCUCUAGGGAGCAUGUGCACGCCUUGUCAUCUUUAUAUCUCCACCUGUGCACUUUUUGUAGACCUUUCAGGUCUAUGUUGCUUCAUUUACCCCAAUGUAUGUUAAUAGAAUGUUGUGCCUAUAUAAUAUAUACAACUUUCAGCAACGGAUCUCUUGGCUCUCGCAUCGAUGAAGAACGCAGCGAAAUGCGAUAAGUAAUGUGAAUUGCAGAAUUCAGUGAAUCAUCGAAUCUUUGAACGCACCUUGCGCUCCUUGGUAUUCCGAGGAGCAUGCCUGUUUGAGUGUCAUUAAUAUAUAAAUCAACCCUCUCUUGAUGAGUGGUUUGGAUGUGGGGGUUUGCUGGCGGCCUCUUGGAGGAUUGAUUCAGCUCCCCUGAAAUGCAUUAGCAGAACAAACCCGUUCAUUGGUGUGAUAACUAUCUACCCUAUUGAAUGGGAGGGGGCAGUUCAGCUUUCUAACAGUCUUUGGACAAAUUCAUCAUUAAUGGGGCCUCCAAUCAGGGAAGACUACCCGCUGAACUUAA
rnacentral:rRNA from 1 species